CAGCUAUCUAUCUGGGCCCCAAAGCAAAAUUCACCAAGCAUAGGAUUAUUCACCCACUAAUAGAGAAUGUGAGCUGGGUUCAGACCGUCGUGAGACAGGUU
rnacentral:ncRNA from 1 species